CCUACGGGAGGCUGCAGUGAGGAAUAUUGGUCAAUGGGCGCGAGCCUGAACCAGCCAAGUCGCGUGAGGGAAGACGGUCCUAUGGAUUGUAAACCUCUUUUGUCGGGGAGCAAAAGACGCCACGCGUGGCGUUCCGAGAGUACCCGAAGAAAAAGCCCCGGCUAACUACGUGCCAGCAGCCGCGGUAAUACGUAGGGGGCAAGCGUUAUCCGGAUUUACUGGGUGUAAAGGGAGCGUAGACGGCGCUGCAAGUCCGGAGUGAAAGCCCAUGGCUUAACCAUGGUACUGCUCGGGAAACUGUGGAGCUUGAGUGCGGGAGGGGCAGGCGGAAUUCCUAGUGUAGCGGUGAAAUGCGUAGAUAUUAGGAGGAACACCAGUGGCGAAGGCGGCUUACUGGACUGUAACUGACGUUGAGGCUCGAAAGCGUGGGGAGCAAACAGGAUUAGAUACCCUGGUAGUC
rnacentral:rRNA from 1 species